GACGGUACUUGAUGAAUCAGCAUCGGCUAACUCCGUGCCAGCAGCCGCGGUAAUACGGAGGAUGCAAGCGUUAUCCGGAAUCAUUGGGCGUAAAGAGUCCGUAGGUGGUCAAUCAAGUCGGCUGUCAAAGCCUGGAGCUUAACUCCAUCAAGGCAGUGGAAACUGGUUAACUUGAGUCUAGGAGGGGUAGAGGGAAUUCCCAGUGUAGCGGUGAAAUGCGUAGGGAUUGGGAAGAACACCGGUGGCGAAAGCGCUCUACUGGACUAGAACUGACACUGAGGGACGAAAGCUAGGGUAGCGAAAGGGAUUAGAUACCCCUGUAGUCCUAGCCGUAAACGAUGGAUACUAGGCGUAGCUCGUAUCGACCCGAGCUGUGCCGAAGCUAACGCGUUAAGUAUCCCGCCUGGGGAGUACGCACGCAAGUGUGAAACUCAAAGGAAUUGACGGGGGCCCGCACAAGCGGUGGAGUAUGUGGUUUAAUUCGAUGCAACGCGAAGAACCUUACCAAGGCUUGACAUCCGACGAAUCUUGAGGAAAGUUAAGAGUGCCUUCGGGAACGUCGUGACAGGUGGUGCAUGGCUGUCGUCAGCUCGUGUCGUGAGAUGUUGGGUUAAGUCCCGCAACGAGCGCAACCCUCGUCCUUAGUUGCCAUCAUUAAGUUGGGAACUCUAGGGAGACUGCCGGGGACAACUCGGAGGAAGGUGGGGAUGACGUCAAGUCAGCAUGCCCCUUACGUCUUGGGCUACACACGUACUACAAUGGUCGGGACAACGAGCAGCGAAGCCGCAAGGUGUAGCGAAUCUCAACAAACCCGGCCUCAGUUCAGAUUGAGGGCUGCAACUCGCCCUCAUGAAGGCGGAAUCGCUAGUAAUCGCAGGUCAGCAUACUGCGGUGAAUCCGUUCCCGGGCCUUGUACACACCGCCCGUCACACCAUGGGAGCUGGCCACGCCCGAAGUCGUUACUCCAACCCUUUUUGGGAGGAGGAUGC
rnacentral:rRNA from 1 species